GUGCACCUGCUCUAGGAUGGGACUGCGGCCCGAUCAGGCUGUUGGUGGGGUAAUGGCCCACCAACCUGUAACCGGUACGGGCCUUGAGAGAGGAGGCCCGGAGAUGGACACUGAGAGAAGGGUCCAGGUCCUACGGGGCGCAGCAGGCGCGAAACCUUCGCAAUGCGCGAAAGCGUGACGAGGUUAAUCCGAGUGGUUCCCGCUGAGGGAAUCUUUUGUUGGCUCUAAAAUGGCCAGUGAAUAAGGGGAGGGCAAGUCUGGUGUCAGCCGCCGCGGUAAUACCAGCUCCUCGAGUGGUCGGGGCGAUUAUUGGGCCUAAAGCAUCCGUAGCCUGUUCUGUAGGUCUUCUGUUAAAUCCAACGGCUUAACCGUUGGCAUGCAGAAGAUACCGCAGGACUAGGAGGCGGGAGAGGUGGACGGUACUCCACGUGUAGGGGUAAAAUCCUUUGAUCCGUGGAAGACCACCAGUGGCGAAGGCGGUCCACCAGAACGCGCUCGACGGUGAGGGAUGAAAGCUGGGGGAGCGAACCGGAUUAGAUACCCGGGUAGUCCCAGCCGUAAACGAUGCGAGCUAGAUGAUCCAAUCGCAAAUCGCGAUUG
rnacentral:rRNA from 1 species